CCUACGGGAGGCAGCAGUCGAGAAUCAUUCACAAUGGGGGAAACCCUGAUGGUGCGACGCCGCGUGAGGGAAUGAAGGUCUUCGGAUUGUAAACCCCUGUCAUGUGGGAGCAAAUUAAAAAGAUAGUACCACAAGAGGAAGAGACGGCUAACUCUGUGCCAGCAGCCGCGGUAAUACGGAGGUCUCAAGCGUUGUUCGGAAUCACUGGGCGGAAAGCGUGCGUAGGCUGUUUCGUAAGUCGUGUGUGAAAGGCGCGGGCUCAACCCGCGGACGGCACGUGAUACUGCGAGACUAGAGUAAUGGAGGGGGAACUGGAAUUGUCGGUGUAGCAGUGAAAUGCGUAGAUAUCGAGAGGAACACUAGUGGCGAAGGCGGGUUCCUGGACAGUAACUGACGCUGAGGCACGAAGGCCAGGGGAGCGAAAGGGAUUAGAUACCCUGGUAGUC
rnacentral:rRNA from 1 species